GUCUGCAGCCAUGCCACCCUGAACAAGCCCGAUCUCGUCUGAUCUUGGAAGCUAAGCAGGGUCGGGCCUGGUUAAUACUUGGAUGGGAGACCACCUAGGAAAUUCAAGUGCUGUAGGCG
rnacentral:rRNA from 1 species